UACAGAGGUCUCAAGCGUUGUUCGGAUUCAUUGGGCGUAAAGGGUGUGUAGGUGGCGCCGUAAGUCGGGUGUGAAAUUUCGGAGCUUAACUCCGAAACUGCAUUCGAUACUGCGGUGCUUGAGGACUGGAGAGGAGACUGGAAUUCAUGGUGUAGCAGUGAAAUGCGUAGAGAUCAUGAGGAAGACCAGUGGCGAAGGCGGGUCUCUGGGCCGAUACUGACGCUGAGGAGCGAAAGCGUGGGGGAGCGAACAGG
rnacentral:rRNA from 1 species